GAGUUCCAAAUAGGACGAAAUGCGCAUCCUGGAU
rnacentral:hammerhead_ribozyme from 1 species